CACCCCUGCCAUGGGCAGGGACACCUUCCACUGUCCCAGGCUGCUCCAAGCCCCGUCCAGCCUGGCCUUGGACACUUGCAGGGAUCCAGGGGCAGCCACAGCUUCUCUGGGCACCCUGUGCCAGGGCCUGCCCACCCUCCCAGGGAACAAUUCCUUCCCAAUAUCCCAUCUAACCCUGCCCUCUGGCAGUGGGAAGCCAUUCCCCCUUGUCCUGACACUCCAGACCCCCUGUAAAUAUUGAGCAGCUCUGCUCUUGCCGCUCUGAUGGUGAAUGAGGCAGUGCAGAGAAUCACUGGGGAGUCAGAGAACUUCCCACACUUUCCAUUGCUUUUUUCAGCAGGAUGUUUGCAGUCAGCCUUCAUGGAAAUUCAAUGUUUUACAUGUUUUUUACAUUUGCAGCUUGCUGAAAUGGGGGGUUAGUGAUUCCUGGGCUACCAGACUGUCUGUAAAGUCUGAUUGUGAGAGUGAUGAGGAGCUUUUCAUCUUCCAGCGGGACCUGCCAAACUUAAUUCCGGACCUGUCAGAAGAACUGAUGAUGUUUUCCCUGGAAGACUCCCAGGAGCAGCAAAUCCAGGAGACAGAAAGGCUUUCAUGGGAGAUCUGGAACGGAGACCUGGAAAGUUUUGACUUUCAGGAAGAAACAGAUGGUGCCCAAAUCAUUGCAAAAGAAGAUGUACAAAUGAUUAAAGAUGAAGCUCCUGAACCUGCCAGCCAGACUGAAGAAAUGCCAAGCCAAAAGAGAGUUGUUCUUGAAGAGUCUCCCUCAGAUUCCACAGAUCACCUUGAGGGGAAAGAAAUGGGCAGGACACAGGCCAAGGAAAAGGGGAACUCCUGGCUUAAUACAGCAGUGUCUGUGGAAGAGCUGUUCAGUAAAAAGGAGAGAAAAAAGCUGAUAGAGACAAAAAUACUCUCCAAGGUCAUUGUGAAGCCAUCCCCAAAGCAGGAUGUCAAGCCUCCCUCCCAUGGUAUCAACAAUGGUCUAGGAAGUCUUGCAAAGGAAGAAACCUCAGCUGAGCGUCUUGGAGAAGCCACCCAUUUGUCACUGCAGAAUAUUGAGAAAUGGGAUGUGGACAAGAAUCUUGAGGAGCUGGAGCAGCAGGGAGAUAAAACUUGUUCAGAAGUUGCUUUCUUCCCAGCAGAUUAUGAGACUUUGAGGAGGAAGUCUGAAUAUGAGCUCAUGGAAAGGCUGGGAGAGCUGUGUGCCAGGCAGUCCAGGGCAGCAUCCCCUCCCUGUGGGAGGCCACCAGCCAAGCUCUGCUCCUUCCAGGGACAGCAGGACAAUAAGGAUGUUGCCUUGCUGUCAUCCCCACCAAGUUCUCUGAGGAUGGACAGGAUGAAUUUCCAGGGCCUGCCAAAACCUGCAACUGUGUUCAUUGAUUUGAGAGAUGCUGAGCCACAAAAGUUAGUGACAAUCCCUGAAGAGGAACAAAGUGCAAGUGACAGCUCCUCCUCUGAAGAAGAAGAGACUCUGAUAAUUAAGGAUGAAGCAGAAAGGAGAAUGAGGAAUUGCUCAGGGAAGAGCCUGUUACUGCAACAACUCCAAGCAGCCCGUAAGGAGGCCUUGGAGCAUCUUCAUAAAGCGUCUGCUCCAGCUGAGAAACUGCAUCCAGAAAGGCUGGAAGACAGAGGUUCCUCUAAUAAAAGUCAAAACCAAUCUUGUAAAGUGAGGCAAGAGAUAAAUGAGCUGGUUCCCAGGAAACUGAUGAGACUGGAACCAGGCAAGGAAAGUUCCUCCUUUUCAAGCUGUGGGGACAACAGAGCUCACACAGAGAAAGAGAACAAAAUGGGAGCUGAGAAGAUUCAAAAUGCAGCAAAUGCUCCAGAGUGUCAUCUAAUUACAGCAGAAUUGCCAAGGUAUCCCACAGGAAAAGUAAUCAGUGGGUUUGGAUGUGGCUUCUCUAAUUGUCCAGGAUUAAAGAAAAUUGCUUCCCUGGGCUGUGAGUUGGAGCAAGAGGGUGUCUGGUUUUGUUACCUGGGAAGAACAACAGGCCUGGCAGAGUCUGCUGGAAGGUUCAGAGGCAGCCUCAGUGGGGCCUGCCAUCAGAUGAGCUAUGGCACUUCUGACACUGGAAACUGA
rnacentral:lncRNA from 1 species